UACGUAGGUGGCAAGCGUUGUCCGGAUUUAUUGGGCUUAAAGGGUCCGUAGGCGGGACAAUCAGUCAGCGGUGAAAGUCUGUGGCUCAACCAUAGAAUUGCCAUUGAUACUGUUGUUCUUGAAUACUUAUGAAGUGGUUGGAAUAUGUAGUGUAGCGGUGAAAUGCAUAGAUAUUACAUAGAACACCGAUUGCGAAGGCAGAUCACUAAUAAGUCAUUGACGCUGAUGGACGAAAGCGUAGGUAGCGAACAGG
rnacentral:rRNA from 1 species